ensembl:lncRNA
GUUUUCAGCCUACCUGGUUUAGGUAUCAGUACCAUGUCUGUGUCAUAGAAGGAAUUUGGUAGGACUCCUUCAUUCCCUAUUUUAUCAAAUAAUUUAUAUAGCAUUGGGGCCAAUUGUUCUUUAAAUGUUUGGUAAAAUUCACAUGUAAAUCCAUCUGGUCCUGGGGAUUUUUUCUUAGGGAGUUGUUUAAUUGCCUGUUCUAUUUCUUUCUGAAAUGGGACUAUUCAAGCAAUUUACUUCCUCCUCUGUUAGUCUGGGAAGUCUGUAUUUUUGGAGGUAGUCAUCCAUUUCACUUAGGUUAUCAAAUUUAUUUGCAUAAAGUUGGGAAAAGUAACUCCUUAUUAUUGCUCUAAUUUCUUUUUCAUUGAUGGAAAGUUCUCCCUUUUCAUUUUAAGACUAACAAUUUGAUUUUCCUCUUUCCUUUUUCUAAUCAGAUUUACCAAAGGUUUAUCUAUUUUAUUGGUGUUUUCAUAAAACCAACUCUUAGUUUUAUUUAUUAAUUCAAUAGUUUUUUCUUUUACUUUCAAUAUCAUUACUUUCUCCUUUUAAUUUUAGAAUUUCAAGUUCAGUAUUUCAUUGGGGGUUUUUGAUUUGGUCUUUUUCUAGCUUUUUAAGUUUCAAGCCCAAUUCAUUGAUAUUCUCUUUCUCUAAAUAAGCCUCUAAAGAUAUAAAAUUUCCCUUUAUUACUGUUUUGACUGCAUCCCACAAAUUUUGGUAUGAUGUCCCAUCAUUGUCAUUCUCUUGAGUGAAGUUUAUUAACUGUGUCUAUAAUUCGCUGUUUCUUUAAGAUGAGAUUAUUUAGUUUCCAAUUACUCUUUGGUCUAUUUACCCCUAACUUAUUGGUGAAUGUAGUUUUUAUUGCAUCAUGAUCUGAAAAGAAAGCAUUUACUAUUUCUGCCUCCCUGCAUUUAAUUUUGAGAUCUUUAUGUCCUAAUAUAUGGUCAAUUUUUAUAUAGGUUCCAUGAACUGCUGAGCAGAAAGUAUACUCCUUUCUGUCACCAUUCAGUUUUUUUCCAAAAAUCUAUCAUACCUAAUUUUUCUAAUAUUCUAUUUACCUCCUUAAUUUCUUUCUUGUUUGUUUUGCGGCUUGAUUUAUCUAAUUCUGAGAGUGCAAGGUUGAGAUCUCCCACUAUUAUAGUUUUGCUGUCUAUUUCUUCUUGCAAUUCUCUUAACUUCUCCUUUAGGAAGUUAGACGCCAUACCACUUGGUGCAUAUAUGUUUAAUAUUGAUAUUGCUUCAUUGUCUAUGCUACCCUUUAGCAAGAUAUGGUUUCCUUCCUUAUCUCUUUUAAUUAGAUCAAUUUUUGCUCUUGCUUGAUCUGAGAUAAGGAUGGCUACCUUUGCUUUUUUGACUUCACCUGAAGCAUAAUAGAUUCUGCUCCAGUCUUUUACCUUAAUCUGUAUGUAUCUCCCUGUUUUAAAUGUGUUUCCUAUAAACAGCAUAUUGUAGGGUUCUGACUUUUGAUCCAAUCUGCUAUCUACCUCUGCUUUAUGGGCGAGUUCAUUCCAUUCAUUCCCAUUUAUGGUUAAAAUGAUUAAUUCUGUAUUUCCUGCCAUCUCAUUAUCCCGAGAUUAUGCUUUUCUUUUUCUUGCUCCUCCUUUCCUCCUUUCCCAGUACUAAACUUAUGGGCUCCACUUGUGCCAUGCAGCUCUCCCUUUUUAUGAUCCCUCCUACCCCCUUUGAAUCCCUUCCCCUUUCUUG